CCUACGGGAGGCAGCAGUAAGGAAUAUUGGUCAAUGGACGCAAGUCUGAACCAGCCAUGCCGCGUGAAGGAUUAAGGCCCUCUGGGUUGUAAACUUCUUUUAUAGGGGACGAAAAAAGGGCAUUCUUGCUCACUUGACGGUACCCUAGGAAUAAGCACCGGCUAACUCCGUGCCAGCAGCCGCGGUAAUACGGAGGGUGCAAGCGUUAUCCGGAUUUACUGGGUUUAAAGGGUGCGUAGGUGGGUUGGUAAGUCAGUGGUGAAAUCUUCGAGCUUAACUCGGAAACUGCCAUUGAUACUAUCAAUCUUGAAUCAUCUAGAGGUAAGCGGAAUAUGUCAUGUAGCGGUGAAAUGCUUAGAUAUGACAUAGAACACCAAUUGCGAAGGCAGCUUACUAUGGAUGUAUUGACACUGAGGCACGAAAGCGUGGGGAUCAAACAGGAUUAGAUACCCUGGUAGUCCACGCCCUAAACGAUGGAUACUCGACAUUUGUGAUAUACUAUAAGUGUCUGAGCGAAAGCAUUAAGUAUCCACCUGGGAAGUAACGACCGCAAGGUUGAAACUUCAAAUGAAUUGACGG
rnacentral:rRNA from 1 species